CCUACGGGUGGCAGCAGUGGGGAAUAUUGCACAAUGGGGGAAACCCUGAUGCAGCGACGCCGCGUGAGCGAAGAAGUAUCUCGGUAUGUAAAGCUCUAUCAGCAGGGAAGAAAAUGACGGUACCUGAGUAAGAAGCUCCGGCUAACUACGUGCCAGCAGCCGCGGUAAUACGUAGGGGGCAAGCGUUAUCCGGAUUUACUGGGUGUAAAGGGAGCGUAGGCGGCAUGACAAGUCUGGAGUGAAAUGCCGGGGCUCAACCCCGGAACUGCAUUGGAAACUGGGCGGCUGGAGUGCAGGAGGGGUAGGCGGAAUUCCUAGUGUAGCGGUGAAAUGCGUAGAUAUUAGGAGGAACACCGGUGGCGAAGGCGGCUUACUGGACUGUAACUGACGCUGAGGCUCGAAAGCGUGGGGAGCAAACAGGAUUAGAUACCCCUGUAGUC
rnacentral:rRNA from 1 species